GCUAACUGAAACAACAAAAACAGAGAUCCUGGGUGAGAAGUCAGGUAGGAGCCCUCCCCCUAAGCAUGCUGUAACUUACACAUGGUUUUCUUGCAAAAUGGAGUCAUCUUUAAGUUCUGGACUCUCAGACAAAAACUUUGAAACAGGAAAAAAAAAAAAAAAGGAAAACAAAUCGCAACAGAAAACCUUUGUCCCCAGCUAACUAUAAGAUAAACAACUUGCUGGUGGAAAGGAGAAUGUUUCUUUUCGUGAGCUCCUGGUGGCCAGAUGAAUUUGGAAGACUCAGGCCUCCUUCAUGAACAAACACUUGGCCAGAUACAAGGAACUCAUUUAUUCUCUACUGAAGAACUUUAAUUAGGUGAAAUAGCAUCACCUAUAGUGGAUUCAGCUGAGGCCCAAGUCAACAAUCUGAUCUGAACAGUUCUUUGGGGCUUCUAUUAAUCAGGCAAAGAGAAGUGGAUUUGAUGGUGUCUGUGUGAUGUCAAUCAGGCCUUUCUUUGUAAAAAUGAUCCAAUUCUAUGUCUGCAUACUUCUUACUGAAUCAUUAGUUACCCCCAGGAGUUUCCUUUGCAGAUGCGAAUCCUCACCUACUUUGCUCAGAUUCUACUUUCUAUAUCUUCUUCACAGCAUUUUUAAAGAAAUCAGGAAAAGCUGGUGAUGUUCACAAGGAAGAGUAGCUCGGCUGUGUUUGCCUCAUGGUUUCUUAGCUAUUUCCAUUCAACCCUUGAGUCACAACGCCCGUUUAUAACUCGCUUCGGUCCAUUUUGUUCCUCAGGACCAAGUACGCGAACUUUGCUACGCGCAUAACAUUUGGAGUGUUUUACAACACAUCCAGUCCGCAUGACGUUAUCUCGUUGGUGGCAGUCACCUUUCUGCCGCCACAUGCCGAGAGACCAGAUACUAUCCAUUAUUUUAAACCUGUUUGAUAGAAUCCUUUAGAAGGAGGAAAACUAGAGCUUGCUUUUCUGCCAGCUUUGCACCACAUUUUCCCUAUAUUGCUCACACUGGUUCAUUACAGCAAGGCUUUUUCCCCUGGCUCCUGGGGGGCCUGCAUUGAGUUCUUCCAAAUAAAAGAGCACUGCAGGAAGAGCACACCGUGUUUUGGAAGACAAGACACAAAGUAACUCAAUCAGCUCUGAAAAUUGAUGAGAUGAAAUGGUGAAAUUCUGAGUCUACGGACUUGAUGGCAACACUUUGGGGACAUUCAAUGACAUCAAUCUCUUGAGGUGACUUGCUUUCAUAACAGAAGGAGUGCUGUGCUUAGUCGCUCAGUUGUGUCUGACUCUUUGCAACCCCAUGGGCUGUAGCGCAUCAGGCUCCUCUGUCCAUGAGGAUUCUCCAGGCAAGAAUACUGGAGUGUGUAGCCAUGCCCUCCUCCAGGGGAUCUUCCCAACCCAGGGAUCCAACCCAGGUCUCCCACAUUGCAGGCAGGUUCUUCACCAUCUGAGCCACCAGGGAAGCCCAACAGAGGGAAAGAUCUGCACAUCUGGAGGGGCUCAGAGGACCAACUGGAUGCCACUUGGUGUCUGGGAGGAAACAUAGAGCUAGCUGUGUGCAGAAUGGUUUGAUUCUGAUGCACACAAUUUGAGCAUCUUCCGUAAGGAUGCAUCAAGCAGACUUAUACCAUGAAACAGACUCUGUCCAAAAUAAGAAUAUAAUGAAAUAGAAACAAAGUAUCAUUCUCGCUGGAAAACUGAUACCCAGCAAAAGGUUUCUGCAAUAAGCAACGUGAUUAUCUUUGGCUGCAGAUAUUGGCCACAGGGAUUUCUCUAAUUCACAAGUCUUCUCCUUGCUGCCCCAAGUCCCUCACAGCCCCAUCUUUCUUCAGGUCCCGCUGGAACUUCUCUUGCUGAUUCCCAAACACAGUGCCCAAUGACACCCUCAGCUUACUAUGUUGUAGGGUCAGAGGGAAGAUGAAACAUGUUUCUCUUCCCCCAACACCAUUUUGUUCCUGACAGAGCUGGGACUGUGCGUGCUCUUGUAGCGUCCUCACCGAGCGAUGCCCCAAACGGGCUCUGCACAAAUGACUUGUUAGAUCAGUUGGUGAAAUCUCAUUAUGAUCCAAAUCUUUGGAAUGCAGUUUUGUUGUACUGGAAAAAAGAGCUAAAAAUCACAUGGGAUCUAGUCCGCUGACCAGGGAUCAAACCCGCAACCCCUGCAUUGGAAGGCGGAGUCUUAACUCCUGGGCCACCUCGGAAGUCCUGGGAAGGAAAGCCAGCUCACACAGAAGCGUCCGCACGAGAGCCACGCGAAGCAGCACAGGACGGAAGCAGCGGGCAUCUCUGAGGAAGCAGGGCCUCAAGGUUCCAACUGUCAAGAUGGUCCGGGAAGAAAUGGUCUCGCUCUCCACACCCCCAAAGUUGGCCCUGUGAGCAAGUCUAAUAGGACUUUUUUCAGUUUCAUAAAAUAUCUUGAUAACUGGAAAGUGCCAGUUAAUGGUAACCUGUUCCAACUAUGAAUUUCACAAAGAUUAAUAUACCCCUUUAGGUUUCUUAAGAUUCUAUCAGGAGGCCUCCCCUAGUCUAGGGUGUUUUACAAUCUCUGUGGGCACGAAGCUCAACUGAAACUACCAUUCAACAGCCUAACUGUCAUCUUCAUCUUCUCCUGGCAUAAAAAUACAUAUUUUUUUCCCAUAAUAAAGAUUUUUUAUAAUAGCAAUAAAGUAACUCCAGAGAACAUGGUUGUCUUGAGAUAGUUUAACUGUGUCUGGUACCUCAUAACGCCCUGGGGAUACAGCAGGCCCAUAAUACUCCCUUUCGCUGCCAUGUCUUUGCUUAAUUAAGGAAUAAAGCCAAAAGGUCAAGGCUGGAGAAAAAUGUAAAUCUUCAAAACUUUUCAUUCUUGACCCAAACUCUGUGUCAUAAAACCUCAGUUAUCUCUGUAACAAGCAGCACACCUACCCAGUGAGUUAGGAGAUACCCGAAUAUACAUUACAUCUUUAAAAUAUGCUUUUAACACAAUGGAAAUAAAUUCCUGACCUCUGGGCUUGGAAUUAUGAUUCUGCCUUCUUAG
ensembl:lncRNA